AUGUUUGUGCCAUGGAUUGAUGACAUGGCAUCCAUCCAUCCACCCAUCCAUCCCAUUUAUCUAAAAAAAAAAGAGAAAGAAAGAAAAAUAACCCCCCACCCCCCGGGCAACCCAACCACCCAAACCCUAUCCCCUUCAUCGUCGCCGCCCCCAGAUCCAAUCUUGCCGCUCCCACUCCAUCGUCCCCACCCUCCUCAUCCUCUCGCCGCCGGCCUCACUCACCCCCCUCAUCCUCUCCCGCAUGCUCAAGCCGCUCGCCGCCACCAUGUCCGCCGCCGCGGCCGCGCUCAGGGCGCAGCGGCCUCCUCCCCGCUCGCUGCCCCCCUCGCCUCCUCCAAGGCCGCCUCCUCAUUCUACUCCGACGACGAUGGCGGGAUAGUCUAG
rnacentral:rRNA from 1 species